rnacentral:piRNA from 1 species
UUGAUUGAUGAUUCAUGUUGGAGGGCUUAGU